rnacentral:sRNA from 1 species
UGAAGUCCUCUAUCCACAGAACACAUAUAGCAGCAGCACAAUAAACUUCCUUGUUGCUCAACCAAUGUACCUUAUCCCUGCAGUGGAGGGACCACCUCCAACCAAGCAGGUUUCUCA